CAUACCACUUCUACCUUGGCUGGCUGGCUGGCUAUUGCUCUGCUUCUUUCCUCUUCCUCAGUGACUCUCCACCUCCACAUUCCCCCUCCUAACACGCCACUGAGUAUAGCAGCUGAGAGUGAGUGACAUUAAACAUGGUGGAUGGUGCUUCAUGCUGAGAGGAGGGGCCAGACCCAGUUCUGCACCCUGUCUCAUUACUUACUAGUAGGGAAAUGAGACCAUGAAGCCCUAACCCUCUGAUCCUGCUAGCACAAACCUCACUAAUUGUCACAGAAAUGCUCUCCAUUGAGGAUUAACACGACUCCAUUAUAUUCACCACUGAGACAAAUCUUUGUGGAAAUUCAUGAGCUCAUGAUGUCAAGGGCCUACCCUAUGAUGAGACAUGUGUAUGUGAGAGAGAGAGAGAGAGAAGAGGAACUGUCACUCUGGCCAAUCCCUGCUGGAAGAAGAGAAGCUGCAGAAGCUGCAUGUGAGAUGUUGGAUGAAGCUGUGUGCCAAAAAACACCCAAAACCCAAUGGGAGAAGCAAAUUCCUGAACCUCUGAGGGCCUUUCACUGACAACACAACAAGAGACAUUUAUAUUCAACAACAACAAGUGACAACGCCACACACACAGAAAGGGACGCCCACUCAGCUUGAGUUCCAGUUUUGUUGCCCUUGUUUGCCAAGACCUCACCAUGCCUGGAACUCUAUAAAGCAGAGACAUCUAGUGGCUGAAUGCAGGUGAACAUAUUAUUUAUUCCCUGUCUUGAGACUUUCAAAUCUAAGUGGCAUCACAAAUUCUACAGCUGAUGUGAACUGCCAUGCUGGCUUAGACAAGAAGAAGCAGUCUCUCAGAUAGUCAAGACCCAAACCAUGUAGACCUUUAUAAAUCAAUGAUAAUGAAUUAAGCAUGUGCAGUUGUUGUUGAACUGGUGUGAUAUGUCCAUGGCUAACGCUGUCAAGCAAGAGGACAGAUCAUUCUGUGCCACCUGAAACUUCUGCGUUGAGUGCAUUGUAGCGAUGCGGCCCUACCAUCAGCCAGUGUAAGCCAUUGAAAUCAGUGGAACUAUGCUGAGGAUCUGGCCCAAUGAACAUAGAAGGCACAAAGGCCUAGGUAACUUUGUGGCAGUCUGAAACCUACAGAAAUGGUUGCAAUGAUCUUGUCAGAUAUAGUUUAAAUAAACAUGGUGCUAUGGUUAUUGAAAUUAGCUGGGAAUGCAGAAGAAAAAUACAACUUUGACAGACAGAG